GUGCCUUUUUGAGCUGAACUUGCACUCUUAGAAGCUGAUUUGGAAGGUAUUCUAACCUGAGCGAGAGUGCGAACGAGCCUUGGAUUGUCGUGAGCUAACUUGUGAGAGCUCUUGGAGACUUAUCUUGAGGAUUGGAGCCUUGUGGAGCUGAUCCUUGGGACUCCUUUGGACUGUUUGGAGCCUUUAGAGGCUAAACUUGAGGACACAUUUGAGUUGGUUUUAAGACGAGCAUUGGGAGCUUUUACCGGAAGUGAAGUGUCCAUCUGAGAAGCUGGAAUACCCGGAUCGCUUAGCUACGUGAACUCGACAAAAGGCGUCGUUUAUCGGUGGGUCGGACC